CCCCUGAAAAACAGGCAGGCCUCCCAGGGAUAUCCACUGAGCAUAGCCCAACAAUAUACAAUAGGACUGGUAGCAAAUCCUCAUAUCAUGGCAGUGUAGCUGGUUGUGGCAGCCUAGUAGGAGUAAAAGAGUUCUAAGCUCAGGCAAAAAGAAUCAGAGAUAUCCCUCCCUGACUCCCACUGUUAGGAGACCCACAAGAACACUAAGCUACACGACCAUAAGGUAAGUGCAGAGGACCUACUGCAGACCUACACAAGCUCUGUGAUUGUUGCUUCAGUCCCCACGAGCUUCUGUGAGCCCUGGUUAGUUGAGUCUGAGGGCUGUUCACGUGGUGUUCUCAACCCUCUGGCUCCUCCUACAAAGUUAGUUUUUAUAUUUAUAAGUUAUGAAUUGCAACAUUUUGAGUGAUAAGAGCUCUGAAUAAAAAAUAAAAUAAGAAGACCAUGAAUUUGAGAGAGCGCACAGGGAGGUACAUGAAAGGUUUGGGAGAGAAAAGGGGUUCAUGAUGUAAUUAUAUUUUAAUCUCAAAAAUUAAAAAAAAAUUAAAGUGCCAAAAGUGAACAUGUUUUAAAAAAUCCUUUUUUUUUUGUUCUUUUGUUGGUGAGUUAUUUUCAGAGUACAAACUCGAGCAGUCACAGGCUACCUUUUUUUUUUUUUUUUAAGCAAAACAAGGCAAAUCUAGAAUGUUUCAUUUCUUUAAUCUUUGUCAUCUCAGGACUCAGUGCUGUGACCGAGAUGGUGUGGUUAGAAGGAGGGUGGGAUAUCAAUCAGCAAAGCUCCAGAAAGUGUGAGCAAAAGUCAGUCAAGGAAGCAACUAACUACCUCGGUUUCCCUUUCCUAACACAGCUCCAAAGUGUGUUACUGUCAUUAGAGUUCAGGUUUAAAAGGAAUAUAAAACAGAGGAGCAUAUACAAGCAACUAAGUGUCCAUGACCUUGGGAGAGCUUGGUGUGGACAAGGUACAAAAGUCAAGGAGAAAUGUUGAAUCUUUAAGGUUUCUUUUGUCUCCAAUUUGUCUUUCAUUUCCCCUUUUCUAUUUUCAGAAUCCAGAUAUGUUCCUGCUUUACCAACCAUUUAUAUUUUGAGUCAAAUAAGAUAAUAACUGCCUUUUAGACUCCUUUAGAUUCUGUUUUUCUCAUUUAAAGAUAAUGAGAUGCUGUAUUUGGCCACGGAGACACAAAGAUGCCAAGGUUCUUGCUCCGCAAAUGCCAACAUUGUCUGGAAGAUGGCAUGAAUCCCCCUCCCCCUACACACAUACCGCCUGGAUAUUUUUUAAAUGGAUGGAGUGCAAAUUAAAUCAUCAUAGAAAAGAAAGAGGAGAUACUAAGGAAGAUGAAGGAGAUCACUACUUCAGGCUCCAACAAAGCCCUUCUCUCUGCCCUUAGGUUUCCCUAUCUAGAAAGUGAAGACACCAGGACUGGUAUUUUAGAGCUGUCAACGAUCAAGUAAAGUAUACGAGUCUCUUGGUAUAUCAGGCUGGCACAAAUCUCAACUCACAUACAAGAGGCUAUUGAUGGGCCAGAAGCAAGAUAAACAGUUGGAGAGGGUGAAGGAUGAUGUGAUUUGUUCUUCAAAGACAGGAUCUGAAUCAAGAUAAUGAUUUUAGAAAGUCAGAACCCAUACAAGAAUAAGCCUACAUUUCAGCUGAAUGUUUAUCAGAAGCCACUAAGCAAUUUCAGCAGGAUUACUGAAGAAAAGAAAAUCCGAAAGUAUGAUGUUAUGCAUUUGGAAGAGUAAAGAUUCUCCAGAAGAAAGUAUUCUCAUAUUCAUUUGGAAAUGAAGGCAGAACUCAAAAGACAAGCCUGCAUGUCAUUUUUGUGGUGCUGAUGGAAUCCCCAUGGCUGCCUGUCAACAGAUAAACAGAUAAAGGAGCUAUGGAGUAUUAUGCAGCCAUGAGAAGAAUGAGAACUUGUCAUUUGAAGCAGAAUGUCAUGCUAAGCAAACAAGACAGACCAAAACAAAAGCAAGUGGGUGAAGAAAACACACACACACACACACACACACACACACACACACACACACACGUUCUCCUGGGGCCGCUUGCUCUGGCCAGGGAGAAGAAACCACAAGGCACCAGUUGGUCAGCAUUAUGAUGAGUAAGUAUAUUGUGGGGUAUGGGAGGUGGAAACAAAAUGUUUUAUGUCCUGUAGAGAGAGACAGAUCUGAAGAGGUGAAGGUGGUGAGGAAUGGGGUGAAAUGAGUGGCCUGUUUCUCAACUGAAGCCAUGGUAACAUUUUGGCCAGAGAUGCUGCCAAGGACCAUGUCUAAGUCCAUGGUCCUCCUAUAGCCAGGAUCUGUGUUGAUGUUCAUGGCCUCUGUUGUCACCAAAGGGCACAAGGAUGCCUGAGUCCUGGGCCACUACCUGUGGCCAUGUUGGGGUCCAAGAGAUGAGCCACUACUGGGGCCAUGCAAAUCUAAGUGUCCUACGCUGCCACCCAGGGCCAUGGUGACAUCUGGGCCCAAGCUGCUGCUGCUGGCCAUGUCUGGGUCUGUGGUCCUGAUGCUUCUGGGGUCUGUAUUGAUGUCUGUUACCCAUGUUACCACAGGGGUCCAUGGAAACCAUGUGCUGAACCACAUAUUGAACCGUGUGUUGCACUACAAAGGCCGUGCUGAGCUGUCUCUUUCUGUUCCAGGGAGGGCCAGUCCCCUGACUAGAGCAGUGAUCCCAUCCCUCACCAGCCCUGGAAUAGUGAACCCCAAUGACCCUAGCACAGGGGAAUAGGAGAAAUUCUCCCUCCAACUUGGGAAAGCUGUCCCCACCCCUCACCAACAGUUGUAGGAGAGCAGGCUCUGCCCCUCACCUGACUGGGGUGAUACCAGCAGCCAAGACUGACCAACUCAUCUAUCACCCAGGCACAUAUGCAGGGCUUUGAGUUGGCAUACCUCACCAUCUUUCCCAUCUACGACCUGCUAGAGUGCAUGAUGGUCCUGUGGAGCCUAAGACCACAGGAUCUGCUUGACUCAGAGCAACAGCAGGGUAUCUGAGAGGAGUUUCUGUGAGGGUCCAGUAUUGAUGAUGUACCAGAAGUCAGAGACCUUGAACCUGAUCAACAACACACUAUACAAUGAACACUUGCAAGUAAAGGGUAUACUGCAUGACACACAUCAGCUCCCACUGCCACCAAGACAAAUGAAGAGGCAAUGAAGAAGUAGGAAUGAGGAACAGAGUGGGUCUUUUUGUUUGCUUUUUUGUGUGUUUGAUUUUGUAUUUUUGUUUUGUUUUAAAAUUAAUAUUCUUACUUAUAUAUUUUUAUUUUUAUUAUUUAUUUUUAAGUUUUCCUUUGAGGGUAAUGUUAGAAGGCUGGAGAGCAGCUAUAGAGGAACUGGGAAAUGAGUCUGAUUGGGGUUAGUAAUGUGACAUUCCCCAAAAAUUAAUUUAAAAAAUUAAGUUUCAAACCAAACCAAACACAACCAACCAACCAACCAAACAAACAAACAAACAAAUAACAAAAAACUCAAAACAAAAACAAACAAACAAAACAAGUGUUGUAUUUUCUUUUCAAUCUGGAAACGUGAGAUCAAAAACAGCAAGAACUAGAUCUGGAAGUAGAAGAGUUGUUUCUAAGAACUGGUCAAGAAGGAGAAGGGACUAAGGCUAGAAGGCAGAUGGAUGCAUAAAUGCUGUAUGUGUGUAAGAAGUAUCACAGUGAAUUCCACUAGUUUGUACAAGUAAUAUUUAUGUUACUGACAAAAAUAAUCAUGAGACUCUCUUGGCAUCCCCAUAUCCAGUGAAAAAUACGAUCAGUAACUGUAGCUAAUGUGGCCUGACAAGAGCGAGGCAGCCAUGGGCUUAUACUGCUCAGCAUGGAAGGUCUGAGUCACCUUAUUAGGCUAGAAAAGGUGCCGAAGGAUCGUGAGGGAAAUCUAAUAUUGGUGGUGGAAGGAGCUGAUAAAUGUCAAGUGCAGCUCCAGACCAGUUGCAGUAGCGAAGGCUGUCUUGUUUUAUCAGGUCACAUGUAGAGACUGGCUGAAGGCCACCUUGAAGCCUGAGAGGUAAUUAACGGCAAGGCAUAGGAGUAGCAGAGGGGUACAAAGGCUAGCCUGUGCGGGCUGCUUCUGGCUUCCUGACUCAUAUCCUCUUGGCUUCAUCUUUGAUUACAGUGUAGCUUCAGUGAGUAGUUUGGCUUAUGUCAUGCUGGUGUUUUUUUUCUUUCUCAAGCACCAGACGUUUUACACUUUUGCCCUCAGAUGUUUCCAGUGCUAUAAUUGCCCUUGGGGAGACCUCUCUUUAGGGGUUUACACUCAGUUGGGACAUAGACCAGGAUUUUUCAUUCCAAGGCAAGACUCAACAACUGUGGGGUGCAAGCUGAUUCCUUUGGGAAUAGAUUUCAAAAGGUGUCCCACAUGCACCCGGGAAGGUUCCAGACAGUUGGCCUGUUCGCACAAUGAUGGUGAUAACAACGUGCUCUCUCGUGUACUGAAAUUGUUUCAACAUUCCCUCAGUCUCUUUAUGCCUGCUACUUGGAUAUGCCCUCUUCCUGGCCAGGCCCAAACUGGAACAACAAUCCUUAAACUCUGAUGCCUCUGUUUUCCAUUUUCUGCUCCAUUUUCUGCUGAUUCCCUGAUAUGUGUCAAGGAAAAGAGAAGAAAAGGAGGAGUAUGCAGCUCGGACUGCCAACAAGGAAAUUAUUUUUGAAGGAUAGUUGAAAUGAACACAAAGUAGAAGAAAAAAUUUAGAAGGAAACCACAAGUGAGUAACAGUGAUGAUGACAAGGGAAUGAACAAAGAGUUAGGAACUAAGAAGGCCUUGGCUUGCAGACUUUUACAAGAGCCUGGUACAAGAAGACUGGUGUGUGAAGAGCAGUGCUGGUCUUCCUUAGGGACCAGACAGGAGGCGAGAGGCUUAAGUUGCUGUGUGGGAUUUAGAUAACAGAAAAGGAAAAAUUUUCAGACAGUGAGGUUUGAUAGACACUGGGAUGUGUAACUGGGGAAGCUUGUGGAAUUUCCUUCUCUCAACAUCUUUUUAAAAACCGACAGCAUCUCAUCUGCUUAAAGGAUGGACUCUAUUUGACCUCUAAAGUGUCUACUGAACCCAGAGGGUGAACCUCAUCUCCCAAAGGAAAAGAGAGCUUGUGUGAUCCCGAGGAGCUUGAAUGAUGAAAAUAUCAUGAACAUUUUUCAUGCUUAAUUUGAUUUCCACAUGGUAUAUACAUAAAUCAUAACUGCUAUAGCGAGUCUUUUGGUCUAAUGUUUUUGUUGUAAGGUCUGGAGAUUAGAGUUUAAGUAAAAGUCUUCUAGGGAGAGAAGGCAGAACUCUUUUAUCUGACUUUUUGAGCUUAUUUGUAGGAGAGCAUAAUAAGCAAGGUGAAAAGGUUAUUUCUGACUUUGAUUUCACUUCCCAUGCUAAAUUUAAAAAUUACCAUCUUUUUUGUUGGCUUUGGUAUUUUAAAGGCAAAUUGAGAGAUUAAUUUAGUGCAAGCGUUUCUCACAGUAUUUUUGGCCAGACCAGAAUUCCAAGUUGGACCAGGUUCUCUGUACUUAAUUUCCUCUCAGGAAGUUUACCUCCAAAAGUCCUAAUGUAAGGUCAAACUUUGGGCUGCCGGAAGUGUUAAUGUCCUUUACUGUCUAGGCAUCCAGGCGACCUUCAAUGAGAUAUUCUACUUUGUGGACACUGGUAAGGGUUCAAAUGCUUUCAAAUGACUUAGCUGCUUCCUUUGUUUGUUUGUUUUCUUUAAUGAGCUGUGAUCUCUGUACUCAGCCAUCCAAAACUCAGAAAUUAAAAUUUCCAUAAGUAAGAGGUGUUCUAUUUUCUCUGGAUUCAGUUAUGAGUUUAGAUAUCUAAUUACAGGUGAUGUAGACUUGUCUUUCUUCCGAAGUACCAAAGUGCACUUCGUGACAAAAAGGACGUUAGUGUCAGAAAUUAUUGUCUACUUUAAGCAAACAGUUCUAGAGUACCCUAAACAGGAUCUCUCUCAGAUUCUAAGUAACCGGAGGACAUUUAAAGGUUAAAGCACAUUGUCACAUAACUGUUCACAACAGUCUAAGUGCUUAUGAUUCCAAUAAAAAUAUUGUAAAUGUUAUGGACUUGUAGAUGAGAAAUGGAAUUUUUUAAGAGGUUGUGAUUUACUUAAGGUCUCAAGACUAGAAACUGUAAAAUACCUGGGACACGUAGGCCCUUCUCACCUAUCUAUGUUCUAUUCCUUUUUGAUAUGACUUUGCUUAAAAUUUAAUUGCAGCUAGCUUCAAAUGGUAUAGUGUAAUUCAUUAGAAGAACUCUUGGAAUACUUUUGAUUUCAGAGCCUGGAUCUUUCCCUCUGUAUAAUGCUGUGAUCUUUGUAAGAUCUGUUAUGUUUUUCAUCAUUGAUGAGAUCUUUGCCUUAGAUGUCAAAGUCAAAUUAGAUACAAGGGACUGAAGUCACUAUCACUAAAUAGAAAGUUAUGCUGAAUGUUGCUCAGUCACACAAAGUAAAAACACCAGAAGGUUC